rnacentral:rRNA from 1 species
AUUGAACGCUGGCGGCAGGCUUAACACAUGCAAGUCGAGCGGAGAUGAGGUGCUUGCACCUUAUCUUAGCGGCGGACGGGUGAGUAAUGCUUAGGAAUCUGCCUAUUAGUGGGGGACAACAUUCCGAAAGGAAUGCUAAUACCGCAUACGUCCUACGGGAGAAAGCAGGGGAUCUUCGGACCUUGCGCUAAUAGAUGAGCCUAAGUCGGAUUAGCUAGUUGGUGGGGUAAAGGCCUACCAAGGCGACGAUCUGUAGCGGGUCUGAGAGGAUGAUCCGCCACACUGGGACUGAGACACGGCCCAGACUCCUACGGGAGGUAGCAGUGGGGAAUAUUGGACAAUGGGGGGAACCCUGAUCCAGCCAUGCCACGUGUGUGAAGAAGGCCUUAUGGUUGUAAAGCACUUUAAGCGAGGAGGAGGCUACUGAGACUAAUACUCUUGGAUAGUGGACGUUACUCGCAGAAUAAGCACCGGCUAACUCUGUGCCAGCCGCCGCGGUAA